CCUAGAGGAUGCUGGGCUCCAGAAUCAACUAAAUAAGAAAUUACAACUUUGACAAUAUCACACCAACAUCACAAACUGUAAGAAAGGAAGCUGAAUCCCAAGGUCAAAGCUUUCGGGAUUUUUUUCAGAGUGAGGGUUCCGAAGCUGGCGAUGUGGACAAAUUCACUAGUCCGAAAAAGAAAGAAAAGAAGAAGAACUUAAAGCACGUUCACUGGUCCGGUGACUUCUCUAACUACAGGGUCGAUUCAAGGCUCGACGGCAGCCCUCCCCAGGAGUCCCGCGGUGGACAGGAUUCCUCGAGCAGGGGGACUGUCAGCUUAGCCACAGGUGUCAGAGGUAACAGCAAGAAUCCAAGACCGCGGCGCAGUCACCGGGAGGCUCAGGGCGAAUGCAGCUAUAAAACCUGGAGAGAAUGCCAGAGAAGAUAUUUGAGGAGCCUAUGAAAUAAAUAUCAGCCAGGCUGGCAAGGAGGUGAGGAUCCAAAGUAUCACUCCUGGUGAACCUGAUCAGACACAUACAACAACCAGAAGCACAACAUGAAGGAGCAACUGUUAAAAUUUGCAAUACUUCAGGUGCAAUAUAAUUGGGAGUCCCAACCAAAGAAUGUGCUAGACAUCGCUGGUGCUGGCGUGCAGCUCUCCGCUCUAAUGGCUUUAAUCUAUCUCCACAUCGACAAUUUGAGGGAUCACCCCAUUCAUUACUGAAGUCCAUGCUAUCUUGCCGAGGAUGGUCUCCUGUACAGAAAAAGAACAACAAUAAAUGAAAGCAACAAAGACAAAAGUAAAUCUAAAGUCUGUUUAAUCU